rnacentral:rRNA from 1 species
GCGCGUAAAUUGCCCGAAUCCUGACACAGGGAGGUAGUGACAAGAAAUAACAAUACAGGGCUACUUCUAGUCUUGUAAUUGGAAUGAGUACAACUUACAUCUCUUCACGAGGAUCAAUUGGAGGGCAAGUCUGGUGCCAGCAGCCGCGGUAAUUCCAGCUCCAAUAGCGUAUAUUAAAGUUGUUGCAGUUAAAAAGCUCGUAGUCGGAUUUCGGGUCGGGCCGAGCGGUCUGCCGAUGGGUAUGCACUGUUCGGCGCGGCCUUCUUUCCGGAGACCGCGGCUACUCUUAACUGAGCGGGCGUGGGAGACGGAUCGUUUACUUUGAAAAAAUCAGAGUGUUUCAAGCAGGCAGCUCGCUCUUGCAUGGAUUAGCAUGGGAUAAUGAAAUAGGACUCUGGUGCUAUUUUGUUGGUUUCGAACACCGGAGUAAUGAUUAACAGGGACAGUCAGGGGCACUCGUAUUCC